rnacentral:rRNA from 1 species
UCGAACGGUAACAGAUCUAGCUUGCUAGAUGCUGACGAGUGGCGCACGGGUGCGUAACGCGUAUGCAAUCUACCUAUAACUGAGGAAUAGCCCAGAGAAAUUUGGAUUAAAACCUCAUAAUAUUAUUAUUUGGCAUCAUUUAAUAAUUAAAACUCCGGUGGUUAUAGAUGAGCAUGCGUUCUAUUAGCUUGUUGGUGAGGUAAAAGCUCACCAAGGCAACGAUAGAUAGGGGGCCUGAAAGGGUGACCCCCCACACUGGUACUGAGACACGGACCAGACUCCUACGGGAGGCAGCAGUGAGGAAUAUUGCACAAUGGGGGAAACCCUGAUGCAGCCAUGCCGCGUGUGUGAAGAAGGCCUUCGGGUUGUAAAGCACUUUCAGUUGUGAGGAAAAGUUAGUAGUUAAUACCUGCUAGCCGUGACGUUAACAACAGAAGAAGCACCGGCUAACUCCGUGCCAGCAGCCGCGGUAAUACGGAGGGUGCGAGCGUUAAUCGGAAUUACUGGGCGUAAAGCGCACGCAGGCGGUUUGUUAAGCUAGAUGUGAAAGCCCCGGGCUCAACCUGGGAUGGUCAUUUAGAACUGGCAGACUAGAGUCUUGGAGAGGGGAGUGGAAUUCCAGGUGUAGCGGUGAAAUGCGUAGAUAUCUGGAGGAACAUCAGUGGCGAAGGCGACUCCCUGGCCAAAGACUGACGCUCAUGUGC